rnacentral:rRNA from 1 species
UACGUAGGGUGCGAGCGUUGUCCGGAAUUAUUGGGCGUAAAGAGCUCGUAGGCGGUGUGUCGCGUCGGCCGUGAAAACCUGCAGCUUAACUGUGGGCUUGCGGUCGAUACGGGCAUCACUGGAGUUCGGCAGGGGAGACUGGAAUUCCUGGUGUAGCGGUGAAAUGCGCAGAUAUCAGGAGGAACACCGGUGGCGAAGGCGGGUCUCUGGGCAACAACUGACGCUGAGGAGCGAAAGCGUGGGGAGCGAACAGG